CAGUCGCCGCGGUAAUACGGAGGGGGCUAGUGUUGUUCGGAAUUACUGGGCGUAAAGCGCACGUAGGCGGCUUGGUAAGUUAGAGGUGAAAGCCUGGAGCUCAACUCCAGAAUUGCCUUUAAGACUGCCGAGCUAGCAGGUGAGAGAGGUAAGUGGAAUUCCGAGUGUAGAGGUGAAAUUCGUAGACAUUCGGAAGAACACCAGUGGCGAAGGCGGCUUACUGGCUCAUACUGGACGCUGAGGUGCGAAAGCGUGGGGAGCAAACAGGAUUAGAUACCCCGGUAGUCCCUGUCUCUUAUAC
rnacentral:rRNA from 1 species